GAUCUCCAGAGAGGUUCUGCUUAGGAUCUCCAGCCAGAUGAGCAUGCUGAGACAGAGGCAUUGGAAAGAGAAGAGGAGCUGCUACUACAGACACUGAAUGAAAAGCAACAACAAAUGGAGGCUCAAGAGAGAAGCUUCCACGAAACCGUGGCCCAGGUGGAUGAAGAGAGAAACAGAAAUCCAACAGAGAGAGCUACAACGUAUACUGAAGCACAUGGAGAAGGGAACACCUUGACUGAGAAACUUCUGAAUGUCACACAGUUGCCACUAAACUAAAAUUAGAAUCAGGAUGGUUGUAAUAUUGUUGAACCAAAAAGUUUGCAAAGAUGAAAUAAACUGCAAAGACAAUGUUUCCCUACAGAGUGAUUCAAUUCCUGCUGAAUAUAGUAAUAAUGGUGAGUAUGAUUCUUACAUGGAUUCUUUAUUGAAAGCAUGGUAACUG